rnacentral:rRNA from 1 species
UGGGGAAGGUCCUUUAAGGAAUAAUUAGGGUUUCUUGGGUUGUAGCGGGUUCUUGGGACCAAUGUCCACGCCCGCCAUUUUUAUCUUUCCACCUGUGCACGGACGGUAGGUCUGGAUACCUCUCGCCGUAAGGCGGAUGGGAGGGUUGUUGGUAAGGGCUCCCCUGGAACUUCCGGGCUUUAGGUCUUUUUCCCCACCCCAAUAGUAUGAUGCAGAAGGUAGUCAAUGGGCUUCAUAGCCUAUAAACCCCUAUACAACUUUCAGCAACGGAUUUCUUGGCUCUGGCAUGGAUGAAGAAGGCAGGGAAAUGCGAUAAGUAAUGUGAAUUGCAGAAUUCAGUGAUUCAUGGAAUCUUUGAACCCCCCUUGCGUUCCUUGGUAUUCCGAGGACCAUCCCUGUUUGAGGGCCAUUAAAUUUUCACCUUCACCCUUUUUUUGAACGGGUCGAGGCUUGGAUGUGGGGGUUUGUGCAGGCUGCCUCACUGGCGGUCUGCUCCCCUGAAAUGCAUUAGCGAGGUUCAUGCUGAACUUCCGUCUAUUGGUGUGAUAAUUAUCUACGCCGUGGACGAGGAUCAGACUCGCUUCUAACCGUCCGCGAGGACAAUACCUUGACC